AGUGAACGCUGGCGGUAGGCCUAACACAUGCAAGUCGAACGGCAGCACAGGAGAGCUUGCUCUCUGGGUGGCGAGUGGCGGACGGGUGAGGAAUACAUCGGAAUCUACUCUGUCGUGGGGGAUAACGUAGGGAAACUUACGCUAAUACCGCAUACGACCUACGGGUGAAAGCAGGGGACCUUCGGGCCUUGCGCGAUUGAAUGAGCCGAUGUCGGAUUAGCUAGUUGGCGGGGUAAAGGCCCACCAAGGCGACGAUCCGUAGCUGGUCUGAGAGGAUGAUCAGCCACACUGGAACUGAGACACGGUCCAGACUCCGGCGGGAGGCAGCAGUGGGGAAUAUUGGACAAUGGGCGCAAGCCUGAUCCAGCCAUACCGCGUGGGUGAAGAAGGCCUUCGGGUUGUAAAGCCCUUUUGUUGGGAAAGAAAUCCAGCUGGCUAAUACCCGGUUGGGAUGACGGUACCCAAAGAAUAAGCACCGGCUAACUUCGUGCCAGCAGCCGCAGUAA
rnacentral:rRNA from 1 species